rnacentral:rRNA from 1 species
AACGAACGCUGGCGGCGUGCCUAACACAUGCAAGUCGUACGAGAAAUCCUGGGCAACUGGGAAAGUAAAGUGGCGCACGGGUGAGUAACGCGUGGGUAACCUACCCUUGGAUUUAGGAUAACUCCGCGAAAGCGAAGUUAAUACCGAAUGAUAUUCCGAUUCCUAAGGGGGUUGGAAUCAAAGGUAGCCUCUGCAUGCAAGCUAUUGUCUAAGGAUGGGCCCGCGUACCAUUAGCUUGUUGGUAGGGUAAUGGCCUACCAAGGCAACGAUGGUUAGCUGGUCUUAGUGGAUGGCCAGCCACACUGGAACUGAGACACGGUCCAGACUCCUACGGGAGGCUG